AUGUACGACUUUAUCCACGAUGCCCCCACCCGCAGCUAGUCAGAUCUUAUCCAUCUAGACACAACUCUCUCUCUCUCUCUCUCUCUCUCUCUGUCGUCAUCGCCAGUGUCGUGGCGUCAUCCGUCGCCACUGGCGAGAUCGCGGUCCGCCACCUCGAACGGCGCCGCGGAACCAAUCUUCCCCAUCGCACGCGCCGUUCGUCGCCUCCUCGAAGUUCGUCAGCCUUGCCGUGCAACGCUAUCUCCAAUUACUUCCCCUUCACUGUCGGCCGCGCCUUCCUCCGCAUCCAACAUCGUCCGCGUCUCCGUCGAACUCGUCGAACUCGUCGUCCGCCUCCCUUUGCCAUCAUCCUCGGCCUCGUCCUGCUGGCCGUCCAACUUCGCCCCGAUGAAGCGGAACUGGUAUAUGGUGUACACCGGGAGGAAUCCAUGAGUUUAUGAUUCAUGGAAGAAAUGCAAUGAACAAGUGAACGGUUACAAGAACAACUGCUAUAAAGGAUAUAUGACUAAAAAGGAAGCAGAGGAUCGUUACGCCAACUAGGUCCGCAAAAAUAAAAUCAACUAUGAAGUAUGCUAGACCGUGUGGAGAAGUGAACGAGUAAAAAAAUCAUUAUUUUUAUCCAGUUCAUUGUCAUUAUGGUGUUGUUGUUAUCAUGACGUCUUGUAUGUGUGUAGCAUGCCGGAGGCUUUGCUAAGUAGGCUACGUGUACUAAUGAUGUCACGCAAGUUGUUGUACUCUAAUGCAUACUUCUAUUUGUAUUGUAUU